rnacentral:rRNA from 1 species
GUUUACUUGAAAAAAUAAGUAAUUUGACCUGCCCACUGAUGUUUUAAAGGGCCGCGGUAUCUGAACCGUGCUAAGGUAGCAUAAUCAAUAGUCUUUUAAUUGAAGUCUAGAAUGAAUGGUUUGACGAGAAAUUAACUGUUUCAAGCGUAUAAUUGAACUUUACUUUUGAGUGAAAAGGCUCAAAUAAAGUAGUGGGACGAUAAGACCCUAUGAAGCUUAUACAUAGUUUGGUUGAUAAACUCUAAUAUAAAAGUGAUUGGGUUUCAUACGAACCUUUGUUUUGCUGGGGCGGCAGGGAUAGAUAAUUAACUGUCUAUUAAUUAAAAAUAAUUUUGCUUAGUAAGUUGAUCUUCUAAUAGGGAUUAUAAAAUUAAAGUUACUCUAGGGAUAACAGCGUAAUUCUUUUUGAGAGUUCUUAUCGACAAAAGUAGUUGCGACCUCGAUGUU